UAUUGCCAUGAAUUCACACAUUGAUGUAGGGUGGUUAACUAUUGAUAUGAGGACUUUAUAAACAAUUUAACUUGUGAUAUUUGUUGGCUGCUUAAUGACAUUUUCAUGACACUUUGGUUGGGUCAGUUUUAUGCAGGUUGUGUUUUCUGUCUUGUCAACUGAUAUGACAUAGAGGCUUCUAUUCAUAAUUCCAAGAGUUUGUAAUUUCUCCUGGUUACCUUGGCAAUGUGAUGCUAUUGUGCUUGUAACGAGCUAUUGCGCCACUUAUGUUGGUCUGAUGGAUAAAAGUGCCUCCAGGAUACUAUCAUGGAUACUGAGGUGAAUGGUUGAUGAAGAGUGUGCACCAACUUGGUUGUGAUUAAAUGGUAACCUCAUGGUCUUUAGAUGCCCAUGUCCAAUCCCUGCAGGUGUCAAGUGUGCAGUCCAAGCUCCUGACUAUGCUGCCUUGGCAUAUGUUGCGGAAGAGGCCGUGGGUUUUUACACUAACAACUUCAAUUUCGUUGGUUGUUUUGCUCAGGUUCUAUAUUCAGAGUUAAUGGUAAUAAUCUCAUGUAUUCAUCUAUGUUUAAUCUGGGGGCACAUGGAUUCUUAUUCGCCUUACUGACACGGCACUGUUGGCUCUAGGAUCUGCAAGUCAUCUCAUGGUGCGAGAGGGUACUCUUAUAAUGUCUUCGGAGACCAAUGUAGGAAGAGGUCGGGGCGAUCUGUCAUGGCAAACUGAUGUGUAGUCUUAGUUUUAGAAAUUUAUUUCUUGUAUUUGGCUUGUUUGUAAUGUCAUUUAGAAACUAGGAUUGCUUAUGAUCGACUGUAUGAUGUGUUUCCAAUAAUGACACUUGAAACAAAUAUGUUUGUUACACCCAGAAUUUUGUUCAGAUAAUGUGAUUCCAAACUGA